rnacentral:rRNA from 1 species
UACGAAGGGGGCUAGCGUUGUUCGGAAUUACUGGGCGUAAAGCGCACGUAGGCGGAUAUUUAAGUCAGGGGUGAAAUCCCAGAGCUCAACUCUGGAACUGCCUUUGAUACUGGGUAUCUUGAGUAUGGAAGAGGUAAGUGGAAUUGCGAGUGUAGAGGUGAAAUUCGUAGAUAUUCGCAGGAACACCAGUGGCGAAGGCGGCUUACUGGUCCAUACUGACGCUGAGGUGCGAAAGCGUGGGGAGCAAACAGG